UGAGAGCGGCGUACGGGUGCGUAACACGUGUGCAACCUGCCUUUAUCUGGGGGAUAGCCUUUCGAAAGGAAGAUUAAUACCCCAUAAUAUAUUGAUUGGCAUCAAUUAAUAUUGAAAGCUCCGGCGGAUAGAGAUGGGCACGCGUAAGAUUAGCUAGUUGGUGAGGUAACGGCUCACCAAGGCUGCGAUCUUUAGGGGGCCUGAGAGGGUGAUCCCCCACACUGGUACUGAGACACGGACCAGACUCCUACGGGAGGCAGCAGUGAGGAAUAUUGGACAAUGGGUGAAAGCCUGAUCCAGCCAUCCCGCGUGAAGGACUAAGGACCUAUGGUUUGUAAACUUCUUUUAUACAGGGAUAAACCUACUCUCGUGAGGGUAGCUGAAGGUACUGUAUGAAUAAGCACCGGCUAACUCCGUGCCAGCAGCCGCGGUAAUACGGAGGGUGCAAGCGUUAUCCGGAUUUAUUGGGUUUAAAGGGUCCGUAGGCGGGUCGAUAAGUCAGUGGUGAAAGCCUGCAGCUUAACUGUAGAACUGCCGUUGAUACUGUCGGUCUUGAGUGUAUUUGAGGUAGCUGGAAUGAGUAGUGUAGCGGUGAAAUGCAUAGAUAUUACUCAGAACACCCAUUGCGAAAGCAGGUUACCAAGUUACAACUGACGCUGAUGGA
rnacentral:rRNA from 1 species